GAUGAAUUGGAAUUGUGGUGCACUAAAUCAAAGCCAGAGCUUGUUGGUUCAUCAUGGGAUGAACUUAAGCACACAAGACAAGCUAUUGGUUUCUUGGUAAUAUUCCAGAAGUAUAGGAUUUCGUAUGAUGAGAUAGUCAAUGACCUCUGCCC